rnacentral:rRNA from 1 species
UACGGAGGGGGCUAGCGUUGUUCGGAAUUACUGGGCGUAAAGCGCACGUAGGCGGCUUUGUAAGUUAGAGGUGAAAGCCCAGGGCUUAACCCUGGAAUUGCCUUUAAGACUGCAUCGCUAGAAUCGUGGAGAGGUGAGUGAAUUCCGAGUGUAGAGGUGAAAUUCGUAGAUAUUCGGAAGAACACCAGUGGCGAAGGCGACUCACUGGACACGUAUUGACGCUGAGGUGCGAGAGCGUGGGGAGCAAACAGG